rnacentral:rRNA from 1 species
ACUGCUCAGUAACACGUGGACAACCUGCCAUAGGACGGGGAUAAACCCGGGAAACUGGGUAUAAUACCCGAUAGGUCCCGAUUGCUGGAAUGCAUCGAGAUUUAAAGCUCCGGCGCCUAAGGAUGGGUCUGCGGCUUAUCAGGUAGUAGUGGGUGUAGCGUACCUACUAGCCUACGACGGGUACGGGUUGUGAGAGCAAGAGCCCGGAGAUGGAUUCUGAGACACGAAUCCAGGCCCUACGGGGUGCAGCAGGCGCGAAAACUUUACAAUGCUGGCAACAGCGAUAAGGGAACCUCGAGUGCCAGGUUACAAAUCUGGCUGUCGAGAUGCCUAAAAAGCACUUCAUAGCAAGGGCCGGGCAAGACCGGUGCCAGCCGCCGCGGUAACACCGGCGGCUCGAGUGGUAACCGUUAUUAUUGGGUCUAAAGGGUCUGUAGCCGGCCGGAUAAGUCUCUUGAGAAAUCUGGCAGCUUAACUGUCAGGCUUUCAGGAGAUACUGUCUGGCUCGAGGCCGGGAGAGGUGAGAGGUACUUCAGGGGUAGGGGUGAAAUCUUGUAAUCCUUGAAGGACCACCAGUGGCGAAGGCGUCUCACCAGAACGGACCUGACGGCAAGGGACGAAAGCUAGGGGCACGAACCGGAUUAGAUACCCGGGUAGUCCUAGCCGUAAACGAUACUCGCUAGGUGUCGGCCACGGUGCGACCGUUGUCGGUGCCGUAGGGAAGCCGUGAAGCGAGCCACCUGGGAAGUACGGCCGCAAGGCUGAAACUUAAAGGAAUUGGCGGGGGAGCAC